UUAUUUCUCUCUUCACAAUUUCUCUUGUAAACCAAACACACCCUUAGGGUCCCUAUUUUCAUGUAAGACAUUUUCGUGUGACCAUAUCCAAGAGUGCAACUACUUUGCUUGAUGUUUUAAAUUUCAAACCAUCUUAUACUACUAAUAUUUUAGUCUGUGUACGGAAAUUAAAUUGUAUCACCACGCCAGUAUUCUCUUUUAUUAAAUUACUACUAUUUCUUUUGCAUUAGGUUUGUUACAUUAAACAAUCUUAAAUUUCUUACAUUUUGAAAAGUUAAAAGAAGUAGCUUUAGAAACAAACGGACAAUAGAUGAGAAAGAAGAGAAUGUUAAGGGAGAAAGUACUUUUUAUAUAACCAAACAUACAACAUACAAAACUUCAAAAUCAAUUAUUUUUGCUUAAGCAAACAAGCCCUUAAACAUAUAUUUUAGUUUUAAAGAUAACAUCUUCACGAAAGCAUGUUGAUUUAUAACUGGAGAUGUAUAGAGUAAAGUUGCAGAGGAAAAUCAUAAUAGAAAACACCAAAGAAGAACAUUAUAGCUACUUGAUUGCAUUUUCUGGACAAAAGUGA
rnacentral:lncRNA from 1 species